rnacentral:lncRNA from 1 species
CCCGGCUCAUGCGCAAUCCCACGACAUUGAGGACAACCUGAGCAGAGCCGGACUCGGGGCGACGCGGGGCCGCGGUCCGGCCCGGCCGGACAGUACAGGACCAGGCGGAGGCCACCCUGUCCUGGCUGCGGUGCCGUCCAGGGCGGCCGGCGGCCAGAAGGGGCGGUGCCUGGGGCGCACCCCACCGCUCCCUCCCGGCGCGCAGCUCCCGGUGCUCCGCAGACCGCGCUUGGGAACGUUUGUCUCCCGCCGGCCGUCGCGGAAAGCAGGCAGCUCUUCCUGCCUCCCGGCCGGCGUCGGACUCCUCUAGGGUUCUCUGCUUUGCACCGGUGCCGGGAUGCGUGGAUCCGGGCCCAGCUGGGGCUCCCAGGGAGAGCGGGUUCCCAAAUGUUGCACUCAGCUUGUUUACUAAGAUAAAUGAAGAACUGCUGUGAAAUGUAGUCAAAGACCUCCUCUGGGACCCAGCUGUAGAAGGACAAAUCAGAAGAUGCUCUUUUCAAUCUCUUAAAUGCACAUGGACAUGACCAAUCAAAGGAUGCUGUUCCUGACCUUCACUUACCUAUGGCAGGAAGCCACGGGAGCUUCCAGUAAGAAAGUUCACUUGUGGCGCAGCCCAAGUGAAUGCUGGACAAGGUGACUGUCCCAACACUUUAUUUGCAAAAGACCGAGAAAACUUGGGAUGCAGAAGUUCCCUGUGCCCCGGGUGCCGGGAGCCUGUUCACUCUCACACUUCUUUUCUACCUUCAAUAAAUGUCUGCUUUCAUGGCCUU